rnacentral:rRNA from 1 species
UAACUUCGGGAGAAGGGGGGCCACAGACUGUCAUACCCCACGCGGGUGGCAGCAGUAGGUGGCCGCAGAGACCAGGGGGAAGCGACUGUUUACUAAAAACACAGGUCCGUGCGAAGUCGUAAGACGAUGUAUACGGACUGACGCCUGCCCGGUGCUGGAACGUUAAGGGGACCGGUUAGUCGGCAAGGGCGAAGCUGAGAACUUAAGCGCCAGUAAACGGCGGUGGUAACUAUAACCAUCCUAAGGUAGCGAAAUUCCUUGUCGGGUAAGUUCCGACCUGCACGAAUGCGUAACGACUUCCCUACUGUCUCAACCACAGGCCCGGCGAAAUUGCACUACGAGUAAAGAUGCUCGUUACGCGCGGAAGGACGGAAAGACCCCGGGACCUUCACUAUAGCUUGACAUUGGUAUCCGAAUUUAAUUGUGUAGGAUAGGUGGGAGGCUUUGAUCCGCGGACGCCAGUCCGUCGGGGAGCCAACGUUGAAAUACCACUCUGUUGACUUUGGGUAUCUAACUUCGGACCGUGAUCCGGUUCAGGGACAGUGUCUGGUGGGUAGUUUAACUGGGGCGGUUGCCUCCUAAAAUGUAACGGAGGCGCCCAAAGGUUCCCUCAGCCUGGUUGGCAAUCAGGUGUUGAGUGCAAGUGCACAAGGGAGCUUGACUGUGAGACUGACAGGUCGAGCAGGGACGAAAGUCGGGACUAGUGAUCCGGCACCUGCGAGUGGAAGCGGUGUCGCUCAACGGAUAAAAGGUACCCCGGGGAUAACAGGCUGAUCUUCCCCAAGAGUCCAUAUCGACGGGAUGGUUUGGCACCUCGAUGUCGGCACGUCGCAUCCUGGGGCUGGAGUAGGUCCCAAGGGUUGGGCUGUUCGCCCAUUAAAGCGGCACGCGAGCUGGGUAGAACGUCGUGAGACAGUUCGGUCCCUAUCCUCCGCGCGCGUAGGAGACUUGAGAAGAGCUGUCCCUAGUACGAGAGGACCGGGACGGACGAACCUCUGGUGUGCCAGUUGUCAUGCCAAUGGCACGGCUGGUUAGCUACGUUCGGAAGGGAUAACUGCUGAAAGCAUCUAAGCGGGAAGCUCGCUUCAAGAUGAGGUCUCCCACCCCUUAGAGGGUUAAGGCCCCCAGCUAGACCACUGGGUUGAUAGGCCAGAAGUGUAAGCCUGGUAACAGGUUCAGCCGACUGGUACUAAUAGGCCGAGGACUUCACCA